GUCCAGCUCAGUUUUGGCUCCAGCUCGUUUGCAGCUUCAGGUUGGUUGUUUCUGUUCCAGUUCGUUUAUGGCUCCAGCUCAUUUCUGGUUCCCAUCUCAGGACCAGCUCAUUUAUGGCUCCAGCUCGUUUGCAGCUCUAGGUACGUUGUUUCUGCCCCUGUUUUGUUUCUGUUCUAGCUUAUUUAUGGCUCGAGCUCAUUGUUUCUGUGCUCAUUUGUUUCAGGUCCAGCUCAUGGAUGGCUCCAGGUCAGUUUAUGGCCCCAGCUCAUUUGCAGCUCCAGCCGGUUGUGGUUCCAGCUUCUUUACAGCUCCAGGUCCAGCUCCUGGACAGCUCCAGUUCAGUUUUGGCCCCAGCUCAUUUGAGAUUCCCAUCUCAGGCCCAGCUCAUUGACAGCUCCAGCUCGUUUGCAGGUGCAGCCCAUGGAUGACUCUUGAUCAUUUCAGCUCCAGCUGGUUGUGGUUCCAGCUUCUUUGCAGCUCCAGGUCCGGCUCCAGUUCAGUUUUGGCCCCAGCUCAUUUGUGGUUCUCAUCUCAGGCCCAGCUCAUGGAUGACUCUUGAUCAUUUCAGCUCCAGUUGGUUGUGGUUCCAGCUCGUUUGCAGCUUCAGUUCCAGCUCAUCUCCUCUCCAGUGCAGUUGGUCUCCAGCUCCAUUUGGUGCCUCAGCUCCUCUCCAACUGAUUCCCAGUUCCGGGGUGUCUGUGCCUCCAGCUCCAGCCCAGUAGAGCUCGUGCUUGUUCCAGCGAUCCUGGCUUUUGGCCAGGCCGUAAAUCAAUCACUGUCACCUCUUGCAUAUGAAUAUGACCUGUCAUAACUGUGCGCGCGUUGAGUCAGUGGUUUGUGUUCAGUGUUUAUUACGUGUGUACCUUGAAUAAAGAGUUGGACGAAGGCA